rnacentral:rRNA from 1 species
GAUGAACGUUGGCGGUGUGCCUAAUACAUGCAAGUCGAACGGAGACUGUAGCAAUACUGUCUUAGUGGCGAACGGGUGAGUAACGCGUUGGUGAUCUGCCUCGAAGUGUGGAAUAACCUCCCGAAAGGGAAGCUAAUACCGCAUAGUCUCUCAAGGUUUAGAAAAUUGAGAGUAAAGGAUUUAUUCGCUUCGAGAGGAGCCUGCGUCCCAUCAGCUAGUUGGUAGGGUAACGGCCUACCAAGGCAAUGACGGGUAGGGGACCUGAGAGGGUGGCCCCCCACAAUGGAACUGAAACACGGUCCAUACACCUACGGGUGGCAGCAGUAGGGAAUAUUAGAAAUGGGCGGAAGCCUGAUCUAGCAACACCGCGUGUGCGAUGAAGGCCUUCGGGUCGUAAAGCACUUUUUGGAGGGAAUAGGAAGGAAGGUACCUACAGAAGAAGCACCGGCUAACUACGUG